UAGUCUGGUUAGUUUGUAGUUGGACUUGAUGGUCUUUAAGGUCUUUUCCAACCUGGGCAGUUCUAUGAUUUGCUGAUUCUAUGAUUCUGUGAUUCCCUUUUGAAAACUAAUGUUGUCAGUCAAAAACCAGUGUUGAUGUGAAAACUGUAAAAUACUUGAGAUUUUUGUUUAUUUGUUUGUUUGUUUGUUCUUGUUUUUAUGAAGUAGGCCAACAGUACGAACAAGGAACACUUCAAAUAUUCACAAAAUCAAAAUCAAAAAUCUUUAAUGACUAGGAAGUUAUUUACAGAAAUUGUACAGGUGUGCAACUGGAAUGCUUUCAUUGCAAAGAAAAUGAGAAGUGGGUUUUGAGUAAAUAGAAUGAUAUCCUUCUGGACAACAUAUGUUUAUAAAUAUUUAAAACUGAAUCAGACAGAUUCUGAAGAAAAGAACAAACGAAACCUGGUUUCCUAUGGAUUUGUGCCCUAAUCCUUUUACACAAUUUCUCUUCUAUUCCCAGUAACAGCCUCUCCUGAGCAAGCUGCAACAUUUGCUGUGGGUAAGCUGUGCUGCAUGUGUGCCCCUUGGCUAACCCUCCCUGCUGCUAUGUGGGACUGUCUGCAUCAGCUUUUGGAAAGUGUUGUCGUGGAUAGAUACAUUCACAGAAGUCAUGGAGUUAUUUGGAUUUGCAGUGUAAACAAAAAUUCGAGCUGGGGUCUUCUUGCAGAAGUAUCUGCUUGAUGUUUUUUUCAGUGUUAGAGGCUGCCAUUUCCUAUGCUGUCUUUUUAAUCCAGAAAGUUUACAGAAAUCUAUUAGGCACAAAAUAUUAAAAGCCAACCAGCAAUGUAAUUGCUUAAAUAGUGGAGAAUAAAUAAAAAUAACCACUGCA
rnacentral:lncRNA from 1 species